CUCGGGGGGAGCCAUUUUGUAGAGGUGUUCGUCACAGUGUGACAAAGGAUGGCUGGGCGAAAAUGCAUUUUGGGGCAGGGACCCAAGUGGUGGUCACUCCAGAUAUCAAGAACCCCCAGCCUGCCAUAUUCCAGCUGAGCUCUAAGUCCAACAACCUCUCCGCCUGCCUGUUCACUGACUUUAAGUCUAACACCACUCCGCCAGAUAAUCCAGGAGAUGAUACAUUCAUCUCAGGGACAACCGUGCUGGACAUGAGGUCCAUGGAUCACAAGAGCAAUGGCAUCCUGGCCUGGAGUACCAAAGGCAACCUUUCCUGUUCAGGUGUCUUCAAAAACUCCAGCAUUGUUGCUUCCUCUGAUGUAACCUGUGAUGCCAAGUUGGUGGAGCAAAGCUUUGAGACAGACAUGAACCUGAACUUUCAAAACCUGUCGGUGAUUGGGCUGCGCGUCCUCCUCCUGAAGGUGGUUGGAUUUAACCUGCUCAUGACCCUGCGCCUGUGGUCCAGCUGAGAUUGGCAAGAUUGCAAGAGUCUUGCUCCCUCCUCAUCACCCCUCAUCUCUCCCUUCAAUCUGGAGGUCAGGGGGUGUUCACCCAAACCCACCCAUGGAGAAGAAGGCUCCUACCACCACCCUGGCCCAAACUGCCAGUGCCACUGGCUGGAUCCAACCAGAUCUGCAAUGAAGACUGUGGACAAGCUGCUCGGCACUGCUGCUACCCUGAGCCCCUUUGCCCUCCUUCUGCUGCUUGCCACUGCCUGAGGCUCACAGCAAGUGGCAGUCUCUCCUGACAGACUCUGUCCCCACCUCCCAGAGCCUGGCCCUUCUGUCCCCAGCCCUCCCUCCCCAUAAUGGGGACAUACUCACAAUACCCCAUGGACUCUUUUCAGCUAUAGCUCCUGAAGAAUGUUUGUAUGUUUUAAAAUAGUGUUCAUUUAAAAAAAAAAAAAGGGGGAAUAUUCUGCUUUUAUCUGGGGGGGUGGUAGAGGGGUAGGCUUACUCUGUAGACCUGGCCUUGCUGUAUAUCUGAGCCAUAUUGUGACUCCACUGCCUAUUUCAUCAUUAAAGGUGACUGCGAAGAUCA